UAAUACAUGCAAGUCGAACGAAGUAGCAAUACUUAGUGGCAGACGGGUGAGUAACAUGUAGGUAUCUACCCUUUGGCCUGGAAUAACACGAGGAAACUUGUGCUAAUACCGGAUAAGUCUUUACGGAGAAAGCUUUAUGCACCAUUGGAUGAGCCUGCACUUGAUUAGUUUGUUGGUGGGGUAAUGGCCUACCAAGACAAUGAUCAAUAGCUGAUUUGAGAGGAUGAUCAGCCACAUUGGGACUGAGACACGGCCCAAACUCCUACGGGAGGCAGCAGUAGGGAAUCUUGCACAAUGGAGGAAACUCUGAUGCAGCGAUGCCGCGUGAGUGAAGAAGGCCUUUGGGUUGUAAAGCUCUUUCGUCGGGGAAGAAAAUGACUGUACCCGAAUAAGAAGGUCCGGCUAACUUCGUGCCAGCAGCCGCGGUAAUACGAAGGGACCUAGCGUAGUUCGGAAUUACUGGGCUUAAAGAGUUCGUAGGUGGUUAAAAAAGUUGGUGGUGAAAUCCCAGAGCUUAACUCUGGAACUGCCAUCAAAACUUUUUAGCUAGAGUAUGAUAGAGGAAAGUAGAAUUUCUAGUGUAGAGGUGAAAUUCGUAGAUAUUAGAAAGAAUACCGAUUGCGAAGGCAGCUUUCUGGAUCAUUACUGACACUGAGGAACGAAAGCAUGGGUAGCGAAGAGGAUUAGAUACCCUCGUAGUCCAUGCCGUAAACGAUGUGUGUUAGACGUUGGAAAUUUAUUUUCAGUGUCGCAGCGAAAGCGAUAAACACACCGCCUGGGGAGUACGACCGCAAGGUUAAAACUCAAAUGAAUUGACGGGGACCCGCACAAGUAGUGGAGCAUGUGGUUUAAUUCGAAGAUACGCGCAGAACCUUACCAACACUUGACAUGUUCGUCGCGACUCUAAGAGAUUAGAGUUUUCGGUUCGGCCGGACGAAACACAGGUGCUGCACGGCUGUCGUCAGCUCGUGUCGUGAGAUGUUGGGUUAAGUCCCGCAACGAGCGCAACCCUUACUUUUAGUUGCCAUCAUUUAGUUGGGCACUCUGAAAGAACUGCCAGUGAUAAGCUGGAGGAAGGUGGGGAUGACGUCAAGUCCUCAUGGCCCUUAUGUGUUGGGCUACACACGUGCUACAAUGGUAUCUACAACAGGAAGCAAGAUGGCAACAUUAAGCAAAUCCCAAAAAGAUACCUCAGUUCGGAUUGCACUCUGCAACUCGAGUGCAUGAAGCUGGAAUUACUAGUAAUCGUGGAUCAGCGUGCCACGGUGAGUACGUUCCCGGGUCUUGUACACACCGCCCGUCACACCAUGGGAGUUGGUUCUACCUUAAGGCAAGGUUUAAAACCCUUGACCACGGUAUAGUCAGCGACUGGGGUG
rnacentral:rRNA from 1 species